rnacentral:tRNA from 1 species
GGAUAGCUCAGCUUGGUUAGAGCGUCGCCUUGGUAAGGCGAAGGUCUCGGGUUCAAAGCCCGACCGAGGCUCCA